rnacentral:lncRNA from 1 species
GAUUUUACACCAAAUAAUGUAAGCUAAACUUCCUCAAAUUGAGUCAAUAUUUUUUUACAAUCUUAUAUAUGAUCAACAAUAUACUUGUGAUACCUCCUCUUCUCUUUAGUUUCAUCUUUGUCUUCUUCUUUGCACCUCUUAAUAAAAAAAAUCAUCCAAAAAAGGUAUAUUCUUUUUAAGAAUAAAAUCCUUCAAGACUUUAUUCAUCUCAUUCAUCAUAUGUGUAAUUAAAUUAGUAGCACUUUAAA